rnacentral:rRNA from 1 species
UAGGGAAUAUUGGUAAUGGGCGAAAGCCUGAACCAGCAACGCCGCGUGUGCGAAGAAGGCCUUCGGGUUGUAAAGCACUUUUUAAGGGGAUGAGGAAGGACAGUACCCUUAGAAUAAGCCUCGGCUAACUACGUGCCAGCAGCCGCGGUAACACGUAGGAGGCAAGCGUUAUUCGGAUUUACUGGGCGUAAAGCGCGUGCAGGCGGUUUGGUAAGUUGGAUGUGAAAGCUCCCGGCCUAACUGGGAGAGGUCGUUCAAUACUACCAGACUAGAGGAUGGGAGAGGGAGGUGGAAUUGCGGGUGUAGUGGUGAAAUGCUGAGAUAUCCGGAGGAACACCAGUGGCGAAAGCGGCCUCCUGGCCGAUUGCUGACGCUCAGACGCGACAGCUAGGGUAGCAAACGG